UACGUAGGGACCAAGCGUUGUCCGGAAUCAUUGGGCGUAAAGGGUGCGUAGGCGGCGCGGUAAGUCGGGUGUGAAAUCUCGGGGCUUAACUCCGAAACUGCAUUCGAUACUGCCGUGCUUGAGGACUGGAGAGGAGACUGGAAUUUACGGUGUAGCGGUGAAAUGCGUAGAUAUCGUAAGGAAGACCAGUGGCGAAGGCGGGUCUCUGGACAGUUCCUGACGCUGAAGCACGAAGGCCAGGGGAGCAAACGGG
rnacentral:rRNA from 1 species